rnacentral:rRNA from 1 species
UACGAAGGGGGCAAGCGUUGUUCGGAAUUACUGGGCGUAAAGGGCUCGUAGGCGGCCAACUAAGUCGGAUGUGAAAUCCCCAGGCUUAACCUGGGAACUGCAUCCGAUACUGGAUGGCUUGAAUUCGGGAGAGGGAUGCAGAAUUCCAGGUGUAGCGGUGAAAUGCGUAGAUAUCUGGAGGAAUACCGGUGGCGAAGGCGGCAUCCUGGACCGAGAUUGACGCUGAUGAGCGAAAGCUAGGGGAGCAAACGGG